CAGCAGCAGCCGCGGGAAUACGUAGGUGGCAAGCGUUGUCCGGAAUUAUUGGGCGUAAAGGGCUCGCAGGCGGUUUCUUAAGUCUGAUGUGAAAGCCCCCGGCUCAACCGGGGAGGGUCAUUGGAAACUGGGAAACUUGAGUGCAGAAGAGGAGAGUGGAAUUCCACGUGUAGCGGUGAAAUGCGUAGAGAUGUGGAGGAACACCAGUGGCGAAGGCGACUCUCUGGUCUGUAACUGGCGCUGAGGAGCGAAAGCGUGGGGAGCAAACAGGAUUAGAUACCCGCGUAGUCCCUGUCUCUUAUAC
rnacentral:rRNA from 1 species